GGAGCGCGUCUCCUGCUUCUUCCUGCACCCAACGAUUUCCGAUCUCAUAUCAUAUAAUCCUCUCAACUCCAAAUAUGAUGUUGGCACUGUUAUUUCCAUUUUACAAAUGAAGUGAUGAGGUUCAGAGGUAUCGUUUAGUAUCUUGGCCUAUAAGUACAUGGAAGAGUUGGAAUUCGAACUGAGAGCCAGGAUAUGAACUUACAGGUGCCUUGCUUUAGCACUGCCUGUCCCAGAAGGAUUGUACCUUUCUGCUUCUCCAGAAACUAACUAAAGAUUUUCUCACCUGCUGAGAGUUGAGGAUGUUGCUUCAGGCAUGUUCAGACUUCUGGAGGGGAGCAUUGACAUGAAACCACAGUGUGAAUGCAUCAAGUACAGAGUAUAAAGAAAAUCUAUCAAGAUUGGUUCAACAGCCUUUGGCUAUGAAAGUCUCAAGGAAUGACUAAUAAUCAGUUUUUAUUAGUGAGAAGAGAGAAGCAGGAAUAAAUCAGCUACCACACAUGUGACUCAACCUAGGAUCAAGAGUUCCAGUUUUUCCCAUGUGAAUGACUUAGUUUUUUUUUAAUGCUAUUGUGGAAGAAUAAACAGUAUAUGAAGACUUUAAAUUUUUUAAAUCCUUGAAAACUUUAUAAAAUGGAGAAAAGUUUGCUCAUGUAAAAAGGAAUUAUAUUGAAACUAAAAAUA
rnacentral:lncRNA from 1 species